GACAGAGGGUGCAAACGUUGUUCGGAAUUACUGGGUGUAAAGCGCGUGUAGGCGGUUAUGCAAGUCGGGUGUGAAAGCCCCGGGCUCAACCCGGGAAGUGCAUUCGAUACUGCGUAGCUAGAGUACUGGAGAGGAUGGUGGAACUCUCGGUGUAGAGGUGAAAUUCGUAGAUAUCGAGAAGAACACCGGUGGCGAAGGCGGCCAUCUGGACAGAUACUGACGCUGAGACGCGAAAGCGUGGGGAGCAAACAGG
rnacentral:rRNA from 1 species